UGGGGAAUAUUGCACAAUGGGCGAAAGCCUGAUGCAGCGACGCCGCGUGAGGGAUGACGGCCUUCGGGUUGUAAACCUCUUUCAGCAGGGACGAAGCGCAAUUGACGGUACCUGCAGAAGAAGCACCGGCUAACUACGUGCCAGCAGCCGCGGUAAUACGUAGGGUGCAAGCGUUGUCCGGAAUUACUGGGCGUAAAGAGUUCGUAGGCGGUUUGUCGCGUCGUUUGUGAAAACCAGCAGCUCAACUGCUGGCUUGCAGGCGAUACGGGCAGACUUGAGUACUGCAGGGGAGACUGGAAUUCCUGGUGUAGCGGUGAAGUGCGCAGAUAUCAGGAGGAGCACCGGUGGCGAAGGCGGGUCUCUGGGCAGUAACUGACGCUGAGGAACGAAAGCGUGGGUAGCGAACAGG
rnacentral:rRNA from 1 species